rnacentral:rRNA from 1 species
AGUGAACGCUGGCGGUAGGCCUAACACAUGCAAGUCGAACGGCAGCACAGUAAGAGCUUGCUCUUACGGGUGGCGAGUGGCGGACGGGUGAGGAAUACAUCGGAAUCUACUUUUUCGUGGGGGAUAACGUAGGGAAACUUACGCUAAUACCGCAUACGACCUACGGGUGAAAGCAGGGGAUCUUCGGACCUUGCGCGAUUGAAUGAGCCGAUGUCGGAUUAGCUAGUUGGCGGGGUAAAGGCCCACCAAGGCGACGAUCCGUAGCUGGUCUGAGAGGAUGAUAAGCCACACUGGAACUGAGAAACGGUCCAGACUCCUACGGGAGGCAGCAGUGGGGAAUAUUGGACAAUGGGCGCAAGCCUGAUCCAGCCAUACCGCGUGGGUGAAGAAGGCCUUCGGGUUGUAAAGCCCUUUUGUGGGGAAAGAAAAGCAGCAGGUUAAUACCCCGCUGUUCUGACAGUACCCAAAGAAUAAGCACCGGCUAACUUCGUG